UCCCUGAUCUAAUGGAUCUGAUUCUCUUCUUCUCUCACCUAGAAAAGGCUAGCCUAUCUUAUCUUCUUUUUCUUCUUCUUCUGCCUCUUGUUUCUCUUCUUUCCCGAAAUCUUCACAGCCGAAACUUUAAUCCAAGAAAACCAUUUCCUCCUUAUCUCUCCAAUCCAUCUGCUAUAUCACGAAGUGAUAUUUAUGAACCAAAAUCCUUUUACUCUUCAUCUCAAAAAUCCAUCUGCUAUUUCAAAUAAACUAACAGAUCUUCAUGAACCAAAACAAUUAACAGAUCUACUCCAUGUAUUUCUUGUUCUACUUUGGUAUUACCUAGAUCCGUAAAUUCUCAUAUAGAAAAAGAUUUUUGUUGAUAAUGUAAGGUGCUCCUUAUACAGGGUUCGUUUUCUUCUUCAAUAUAGUACUAGAUGAGUCAUCUUCACCUAACUAUACUUGAAUGAAUGGUACAUAUUUGAAUUGGGAAAAGUUGAGUAAAAGGAGUCCAGGAACUUUGCUUCAAAAUGGAGACAUUGUAUCUUUUGAUGUGGCUCCUCAACAUGGAUUGAUUAGACCUAUUUUCAUGUAAUGUACGUUUGCUUCUGGUGUGCGUAGUUCUGAUGUUUAUUUGUGUGAAAAGAUGUAUCUAGUCAAUGAGAUGUACUUCGCUAUCACUCCUGACAGGACAACUGCUGAUCCAGUAUGUCUUUAAACCAAAUGACUUAUAGAAAGGGAGGGACCAGCAUUGAAGACCUUGCUGAGAAACUGAAAUGAUAAUCAAGGUGAAUGUCACUAACUCAAUUUUCUGGGUUAGAGGUUAUCGUCAAGGCCACUCUAUCCUUCGAUCUCCACCGAUUGUGUUGACUUUAUAUAGUUCUGAAUCUACCUGGUGGAGAUUGAUAUAUUCAAAGGAAUAACUGAUGAAGAAGCUACUAAAGUUGUUGUCCCCCAAGGUUGCAGAUAAAGUGGCUUCGAUGGAAAAAGUGAAGAAGAUACACGAGAUUUUUUGCAAAAAUGACUGUAUCAUGCUGGAGCCAUGUGACAUCCUAUCGGCAGAAUUUGGAGUAGCUCUUACAGUGUGAGUGCACAAUAUCUUCAAAUUUGGAUAACUGAGUUUACGUCGCAACCACAAAAUGUAGGUCAUAGAGCAAAGCCUUACGAUCACAAGGUGAACAUUUUCAGUUUCACAAUUGUGUUGUAGGAGAUGCUAACUAGAAAGGUAAAAAAUCUAGUAAAAUUUUGUUUGGAAACUGAACUUGGUGAAAAUUCUUAAGUAAAAUAUACACUUCACAUCAAAUAUACAGUUUUACACUUUUAUUAAUUGUUACUAUUUGCCCUGUAACAGGCAGCUUCUUUACGAGUACUUAUCAUACUUAUCAUGCCUACGAUUUUCACUGCCUAUAUAUGGUUUAUUUCUUUGUCUCAAUGAAGUCACUGUUGUUGCUGUUGUUGUCUUGAUGAUGGGUCUACCUCCGUGUAUAUUAUUAUCGACUAGUCAUAUAAAGUGACUUUUUACUCUUCUUCUGAAUGUAGUUCGAUACCUUCAUGGAUGCCGUCACUCUCUUCCCGAUGUUCUCAUAUAUCAUAGUUGAUGGUGAGAUCAUUGUUGCUGCUGGAUAAGGAAAUGUUGGAAAGGGAUGUGCUUCUACAGGAUCUUCUCUCAAGCAAGCUGGUGCCAAGGUCCUCAUGACAGAAAUUGUAGUUGAAAUUUUUAGGACGUGUUGGUAUCACUUCUUUUUAAGAAACCUUAACAAUAGGGAGUUGAAUCCUUUUUUUUUAAUGAUUUUGGACUAAAUUUAUGAGCACAGUUCAAUGUAAUGGAGCUGUCAUUUGGUAUUAGAUGAUUCAGGUUUCAUUUGGAAUUUGAAGUUGAAUUUUAAUAUUAAUUGUCAUUUGGAUUUCACUUGAAUUUGAGAAUUUUAGUGAUUUCAUUUGAUUUUGAGAA